AUUGAACGCUGGCGGCAGGCCUAACACAUGCAAGUCGAACGAGUGGCGGAUGGGUGAGUAAUGUUUGGGACUCCAGCUUAUGGAGGGGGAUAACUACGGGAAACUGUACCUAACACCGCGUAGCAUAGGAUGACCCCUAGUGGGAUUAGGUUGUUGGUGUGGUAAAGGCUCACUAAGCCGAAGACUUCUAGCUGGUCUGAGAGGAUGAACAGCCACACUGGGAAUGAGAAACGGCCCAGAAGCCGACGGGAGGAAGCAGUGGGGAAGAUUGCGAAAUGGGGGCAAGCUGACGCAGCCAUGCCGCGUGAAGGAAGAAGGCCGUCGGGUUGUAAAGUUCUUUCGGUAGCGAGGCGUUAACUACAGAAGAAGCACCGGCUAACGCCGUGCCAGCAGCCGCGGUAAUUC
rnacentral:rRNA from 1 species